rnacentral:lncRNA from 10 species
CUCCCAGCCCGGCUUUGCAGAGCAGAGAUCUGGUGUCUCCAGUUUACGGAGGCACUUUCAGAACUGAUCAGAAGCCACCCCGCUUAUCAGCAGAUCUCAGGAGAGUGUUCAGUGGAGGCCCUGCCGGUCUGCACAGCUCACCUCCCUGGGAACUGCUCGCCUGAGCGUCGGAGCCGGCCCUGGCCCCCUGCAGCCAGAAAGUUGCAGCCGCAGGAGCCCCGGAGGCCCAGGACGCAGGGGGAGGAACAGGAAGAGAAGAGUGUGGCCUCCUAGAAAUCUAGCACGGAGAAAGGAUGUUUGCUUCUGAGGAAGCUGGAAGCUGCAGCCACAAUGUGCCUUUGCAGGGGAGCCUGAGAGCCACAGGGGUUAAAAAAAAAAUCUCCCCAGUGUCACUUCUCCCAGGAACGUGUGUAUGUGAAUGGCUUAAAAACUGUUGCCCUUGACAAAGAAAUGUACCAAUCUCCAAUGACAGAAUAUUUAAUCGAGGAAAGGUCUCAUUAACAGAUGUUAAUUAAUCUCCUUAACAGAUGUUAAGGAGAACUGCAAACCACUGUUCAAUGAAAUAAAAGAGAAUACAAACAAAUGGAACAACAUUCCACGCUCAUGGGUUGGAAGAAUCAAUAUCGUGAAAAUGGCCAUACUGCCCAAGGUAAUUUAUAGAUUCAAUGCCAUCCCCAUCAAGCUACCAAUGACUUUCUUCACAGAAUUGGAAAAAACUACUUUAAAGUUCAUAUGGAACAAAAAAGAGCCCGCAUCGCCAAGUCAAUCCUAAGCCAAAAGAACAAAGCCAGAGGCAUCAUGCUACCUGACUUCAAACUAUACUACAAGGCUACAAUAACCAAAACAGCAUGGUACUGGUACCAAAACAGAGAUAUAGAUCAAUGGAACAGAACAGAGUCCUCAGAAAUAACACCACAUAUCUACAACCAUCUGAUCUUUGACAAACCUGACAAAAACAAGCAGUGGGGAAAGGAUUCCCUAUUUAAUAAAUGGUGCUGGGAAAACUGGCUAGUCAUAUGUAGAAAGCUGAAACUGGA